GAUGUACUCCCUCCAUCCGAAAAUACUUGUCAUAAAAAUGAAGGGAUAUAUCUAGACGUAUUUUAGUUUUAGAUAUAUCUUUUUUUUAAUGACAAGUAUUUUUGGACGGAAGGAGUAAUUG
rfam:Triticum aestivum genome assembly, contig: Triticum_aestivum_CS42_TGACv1_scaffold_000668_1AL